AGUCAAUAAUCCACCGGUUUCCCUCCUUCAAAAUGCAUACAAGAUGAAUCCAAAUAAUCCAAUAAACUUCUCCAAACAACGUUUAUAAUAAAACCUUGCGUACCCUAAUAGCGUAGCCUAGUGGUUAGAGCGCUGGACUAGUAAACGGAAGGUUGCGAGUUCAAACCCCCGAGCUGACAAGGUACAAAUCUGUCGUUCUGCCCCUGAACAGGCAGUUAACCCACUGUUCCCAGGCCGUCAUUGAAAAUAAGAUUAUGUUCUUAACUGACUUGCCUGGUUAAAUAAAGGUAAAAAAUAAUAAUAAAAAAUUUAAAAAUACGUAAAUAAACAAUACAAUUUAAGACAAAGAAUAGUAUGUUCAUUACCGGAGAUAAAUAACAAACAACUUGCUUUCCUCCAAGCGCAUGGAAACACUACAGCCAAAAUGGGAGCAACUAAAAACCAGCCUGAAACUUUUUCUAAAGACUGUUGGCAUCUAGUGGAAGCCCUAGGAACUGCAAUCUGGGAGGUUUUUGCCUUAUAAUAAAAGUGACAGCCAGUGGUAGGCCAAAUGUUCUUUUUUGGGGAUGUCCUCGGGGUUUCUCCUGCCAUAUCAGUUCUGUUAUACAGUUAUACAGACAGAAUGCUAACAGUUUCAGAAACUUUAGACGGUUUUCUAUCCAAAUCUAUCAAGUAUGUGCAUAUCCUUCUGGGCCUGAGUAACAGGCUGUUUACUUUGGGCACACUUUUUAUCUGGACGUCAAAAUACUGCCCCCUACCCAAGAGAGGUUAACCGACUGACUCAAAAUACUGGCCCCUACCCAAGAGAGGUUAACCGACUGACUCAAAAUACUGCCCCCUAUCCAAGAGAGGUUAACCGACUGACUCAAAAUACUGCCCCUACCCAAGAGAGGUUAACCGACUGACUCAAAAUACUGCCCCCUACCCAAGAGAGGUUAACCGACUGACUCAAAAUACUGCCCCCUAUCCAAGAGAGGUUAACCGACUGACUCAAAAUACUGCCCCCUACCCAAGAGAGGUUAACCGACUGACUCAAAAUACUGCCCCCUACCCAAGAGAGGUUAACCGACUGACUCAAAAUACUGGCCCCUACCCAAGAGAGGUUAACCGACUGACUCAAAAUACUGGCCCCUACCCAAGAGAGGUUAACCGACUGACUCAAAAUACUGCCCCCUAUCCAAGAGAGGUUAACCGACUGACUCAAAAUACUACCCCCUAUCCAAGAGAGGUUAACCGACUGACUCAAAAUACUGCCCCCUAUCCAAGAGAGGUUAACCGACUGACUCAAAAUACUGGCCCCUACCCAAGAGAGGUUAACCGACUGACUCAAAAUACUGGCCCCUACCCAAGAGAGGUUAACCGACUGACUCAAAAUACUGGCCCCUACCCAAGAGAGGUUAACCGACUGACUCAAAAUACUGCCCCCUAUCCAAGAGAGGUUAACCGACUGACUCAAAAUACUGCCCCCUAUCCAAGAGAGGUUAACCGACUGACUCAAAAUACUGCCCCCAAGCCCAAAGUGGGCUGAGAGCUGUGAUUAGGUUGUAUAAAGAUAUGGUUAUAUAUGUGAGAACUAUGAUUAGGUCUGAAAUGAUGCAUUCAGCUCUGCUCCUAAAAUAAUGGUACAACAUUUUUCUCAAAGUUAAUAUAGUAUGUCCCAAAUGGCACCCCUUUUCCUGAAUAACUACCUAAAGCAGUUUUCAUAUAUAACUACCUAAAGCAGUUUUCAUAUAUAAACACUUAGUAGUUUUCAUAUAUAACUACCUAAAGCAGUUUUCAUAUAUAAACACUUAGUAGUUUUCAUAUAUAACUAGUUGAAGCAGUUUUCAUAUAUAACUACCUAAAGUAGUUUUCAUAUAUAACUACCUAAAGCAGUUUUCAUAUAUAACUAGUUAAAGCAGUUUUCAUAUAUAACUAGUUAAAGCAGUACACUAUGUAGGGUGCCAACUGGGACGUAGCACCAAUGGAGUUGAGGGUUUGGAACGGCCACAGGUCUCUUCUAUUCUGUGCUGUCAUGCCACUUCUAUGCUGCUGUCUGUUAUUUUACAUAGAGAUAGAUAUUUAUGUGUUGUUGUAAAUGAUAGUAUACCAUUAUUGACAGACAUAAAGGUAGCAGUACUGAUACUUGUAUUGAUUUAUGGUAAAUCAUUGAUGAUUAGGGAUCUAUAGUUACAAUGUUGGGAUCAGUCUGGAGCACACAGAGAAAUGCAACACUUUAACCUCUGACCUCUAGCCCCUGUAAAGGCAUUAUCCUGAAUAUCUCAUCAGGUCUUCUGCUUUAGGUUUCUCUAUAUUUUUUUUGUGGUGAUCAAUCUCUUGAAUCUGAUCUGAUCAUGGACUUCAAGAAAUUAAGGAAAUAUCUUAAAUGUUCUCAUUGUCUAGUUUUUUAAUUAACACGGUGUGUCAUUCCAUAUGCUUGAUAUGUAAUGAUGAUGAUGAUGAUGAAACCCUUUUUUUAUGUUUCACAAUUUUUUUUAAAGAUUCCAAUGAUUUUUCUUUGUUUAUUUAUUUUGUGAUAAUUCUUCUGUAUUAAUUGUCGAAGAGUAUCCGGGGAGAUUUCAACUUGUUUCCCCACAGCAAAAUGUCAUGAAAAGGGGUGUGAGUAAGGAAAACGUUCUCUGUGGGACCCACCAGAAUACUCGCUCCUACUGGUGAGCCUGGUCUUUACGUGGACAAAAUGACCAGUAGUCCUGCAAUACAGGCAACUCUUAGUGUGAAUCCCGUAUAGCCAUUCAGCUGGAGACAGACUAGCUCUGCCUAGUUGCAUUGGCUCGGGAAGUGGUGAAUAGGCAGCCUUUGGAGAUUCUCGGGGCACCUCGGGUUCUCUCAGCAACGGAGCCGUCGGAAACUUCCAUGAUGCCUCGGAAGCGAGGUGGAAUCCUUGGGUGGUGAGCGUCAGAGCGUUCCAUCCGAUACUCCGUGCCGGAACAUGUCGAACAACACUUCUAUGUUCUCAGCUGCCAACCAGCUGGCAACCAGACAAACAGAGAACACAGGUAUAAAUACACUGGAUAUAAUUGGGAAGAUGGGCGACACCUGGAGGGGUGUGGAGACAAACAUAAAGACAGUUG